rnacentral:rRNA from 1 species
CAGGCUUAACACAUGCAAGUCGAGGGGCAUCAGGAAGAAAGCUUGCUUUCUUUGCUGGCGACCGGCGCACGGGUGAGUAACACGUAUCCAACCUGCCCUUUACUCGGGGAUAGCCUUUCAAAAGAAAGAUUAAUACCCGAUGGCAUAAUGAUUCCGCAUGGUUUCAUUAUUAAAGGAUUCCGGUAAAGGAUGGGGAUGCGUUCCAUUAGGUUGUUGGUGAGGUAACGGCUCACCAAGCCUUCGAUGGAUAGGGGUUCUGAGAGGAAGGUCCCCCACAUUGGAACUGAGACACGGUCCAAACUCCUACGGGAGGCAGCAGUGAGGAAUAUUGGUCAAUGGGCGCUAGCCUGAACCAGCCAAGUAGCGUGAAGGAUGAAGGCUCUAUGGGUCGUAAACUUCUUUUAUAUAAAAAUAAAGUGCAGUAUGUAUACUGUUUUGUAUGUAUUAUAUGAAUAAGGAUCGGCUAACUCCGUGCCAGCAGCCGCGGUAAUACGGAGGAUCCGAGCGUUAUCCGGAUUUAUUGGGUUUAAAGGGAGCGUAGGUGGACUGGUAAGUCAGUUGUGAAAGUUUGCGGCUCAACCGUAAAAUUGCAGUUGAUACUGUCAGUCUUGAGUACAGUAGAGGUGGGCGGAAUUCGUGGUGUAGCGGUGAAAUGCUUAGAUAUCACGAAGAACUCCGAUGGCGAAGGCAGCUCACUGGACUGCAACUGACACUGAUGCUCGAAAGUGUGGGUAUCAAACAGGAUUAGAUACCCUGGUAGUCCACACAGUAAACGAUGAAUACUCGCUGUAUGCGAUAUACAGUAAGCGGCCAAGCGAAAGCAUUAAGUAUUCCACCUGGGGAGUACGCCGGCAACGGUGAAACUCAAAGGAAUUGACGGGGGCCCGCACAAGCGGAGGAACAUGUGGUUUAAUUCGAUGAUACGCGAGGAACCUUACCCGGGCUUAAAUUGCAGUGGAAUGAUGUGGAAACAUGUCAGUGAGCAAUCACCGCUGUGAAGGUGCUGCAUGGUUGUCGUCAGCUCGUGCCGUGAGGUGUCGGCUUAAGUGCCAUAACGAGCGCAACCCUUAUCUUUAGUUACUAACAGGUCAUGCUGAGGACUCUAGAGAGACUGCCGUCGUAAGAUGUGAGGAAGGUGGGGAUGACGUCAAAUCAGCACGGCCCUUACGUCCGGGGCUACACACGUGUUACAAUGGGGGGUACAGAAGGCAGCUAGCGGGUGACCGUAUGCUAAUCCCGAAAAGCCUCUCUCAGUUCGGAUCGAAGUCUGCUACCCGACUUCGUGAAGCUGGAUUCGCUAGUAAUCGCGCAUCGAGCCACGGCGCGGUGAAUACGUUCCCGGGCCUUGUACACACCGCCCGUCGAAGCCGUGGGAGCCGGGGGUACCUGAAGUACGUAACCGCGAGGAUCGUCCUAGGGUAAAACUGGUGACUGGGG